GAAAUGCGAUAAGUAAUGUGAAUUGCAGAAUUCAGUGAAUCAUCGAAUCUUUGAACGCACCUUGCGCUCCUUGGUAUUCCUUGGAGCAUGCCUGUUUGAGUAUCAUGAAAUCUUCAAAGUAAAUCUUUUGUUAACUCAAUUGGUUUCUACUUUGGUAUUGGAGGUCUUUGCAGCUUCACACCUGCUCCUCUUUGUUCAUUAGCUGGAUCUCAGUGUUAUGCUUGGUUCCACUCGGCGUGAUAAGUUAUCUAUCGCUGAGGACACUGUAAAAAGUGGCCAAGGUAAAUGCAGAUGAACCGCUUCUCAUAGUCCAUUGACUUGGACAAUACUUUUAUGAUCUGAUCUCAAAUCAGGUAGGACUACCCGCUGAACUUAAGC
rnacentral:misc_RNA from 1 species